rnacentral:rRNA from 1 species
GAUGAACGCUGGCGGCGUGCCUAAUACAUGCAAGUCGAGCGAACAGACGAGGAGCUUGCUCCUUUGACGUUAGCGGCGGACGGGUGAGUAACACGUGGAUAACCUACCUAUAAGACUGGGAUAACUUCGGGAAACCGGAGCUAAUACCGGAUAACAUGUUGAACCGCAUGGUUCAACAGUGAAAGACGGUCUUGCUGUCACUUAUAGAUGGAUCCGCGCCGCAUUAGCUAGUUGGUAAGGUAACGGCUUACCAAGGCAACGAUGCGUAGCCGACCUGAGAGGGUGAUCGGCCACACUGGAACUGAGACACGGUCCAGACUCCUACGGGAGGCAGCAGUAGGGAAUCUUCCGCAAUGGGCGAAAGCCUGACGGAGCAACGCCGCGUGAGUGAAGAGGGUCUUCGGAUCGUAAAACUCUGUUAUUAGGGAAGAACAAAUGUGUAAGUAACUAUGCACGUCUUGACGGUACCUAAUCAGAAAGCCACGGCUAACUACGUG